rnacentral:rRNA from 1 species
GACGAACGCUGGCGGCGUGCCUAAUACAUGCAAGUUGAGCGCCGAAGGUUGGUACUUGUGCCAACUGGAUGAGCAGCGCACGGGUGAGUAACGCGUGGGGAAUCUGCCUUUGAGCGGGGGACAACAUGUGGAAACGAAUGCUAAUACCGCAUAAAAACUUUAAACACAAGUUUUAAGUUUGAAAGAUGCAAUUGCAUCACUCAAAGAUGAUCCCUCGUUGUAUUAGCUAGUUGGUGAGGUAAAGGCUCACCAAGGCGAUGUUACAUAGCCGACCUGAGAGGGUGAUCGGCCACACUGGGACUGUGACACGGCACAAACUCCUACGGGAGGCAGCAGGAGGGAAACGUCGGCCAUGGACGAAAGUCUGAGCGAGCAACGCCGCGGGAGUGAAGAAGGGUUUCGGGUCGUAAAACUCGGUUGGUAGGGAAGAAAGUUGGUGAGAGUGGAACGCUCAUCGAGUGACGGUAACUACUCAGAAAGCGACGGCUAACUACGUG